rnacentral:rRNA from 1 species
CAAAAACAUGUCUUUUUGAUUAUAAUUUAAAGUCUAACCUGCCCAAUGAGGAGUUAAAUGGCCGCGGUAUUUUGACCGUGCAAAGGUAGCAUAAUCAUUAGUUUUUUAAUUGAAAGCUGGUAUGAAUGGUUGGACGAGAAAAUAACUGUCUCGAUUUAAAUUAAAUUAGAAUUUUAUUUAUGAGUAAAAAAGCUCAUAUGAGUUUAAAAGACGAGAAGACCCUAUAGAAUUUAAUAUAUAUAUAUAUAUAUUAUUUUUAGAAUUAAUAAUAAGUUAUAUAUAAUUAUAUUUUGUUGGGGUGAUAGAAAAAUUAAAUUAACUUUUUUUAUAUAAAAACAUUAAUGUAUGAAAAAGUGAUCCGUUAAUUACGAUUAUAAGAUUAAAUUACCUUAGGGAUAACAGCGUAAUUUUUUUUUAGAGUUCUUAUCGAAAAAAGAGUUUGCGACCUCGAUGUUGGAUUAAAAUUAACUUUUGGUGUAGGGGCU